UGGUGGGGGUGGGGUUAAUCAGGUUUCCUAUGUGUGGGUGGUCACACAUCACUAGUUUGGGAAAGCGCACCAGAAGGAGUCGCAAUGGCAUUCAAUCAGUCUUCAGAUGUAGGUGGGUGUGGAGAGAUGGUGACGAAGGAGGACGCUCAGUUAAAUGAAUUUAGUUGGCCCUGGAACAAGGACAAGGGAGACGGCAAGGACAAGUCUGACAAAAAGGACAAGUCUGACAAAAAGGACAAGUCUGACAAAAA